GCAUGAGAUAGUGGUUUAGGUGUUAGACUAGGACUCUGGAGACCAGGGUUCAAUUCCCAGCUCGUCCA